ACUCCCAUGGUGUGACGGGCGGUGUGUACAAGGCCCGGGAACGUACUCACCGCGGCGGCUGGUACAAUCACUAGUGAAUUCUAUCCACGCAGUAAACGGUCAGUAAAACGAGGGUGAGAGAACAGUAAGCGGCACAGCGAAAGCGUUAAGUAAUCCACCUGGGGAGUACGCCGGCAACGGUGAAACUCAAAGGAAUUGACGGGGGCCCGCACAAGCGGAGGAACAUGUGGUUUAAUUCGAUGAUACGCGAGGAACCUUACCCGGGUUUGAACGUAGGGAGACAGGAGUGGAAACAUUCUAUUCAGCAAUGACUGCCUACGAGGUGCUGCAUGGUUGUCGUCAGCUCGUGCCGUGAGGUGUCGGCUUAAGUGCCAUAACGAGCGCAACCCUUGUCAUUAGUUACCAUCAGGGUCAACCUGGGGGACUCUAAGGAGACUGCCGCCGUAAGGUGUGAGGAAGGGGGGGAAUGACGUCAAAUCCUCUCGGCGCUUAUGUCCGGGGGGUAACAGGGUUUUACAGUGGGAGGGACACAGAAGCGCCCUUUGGGUAUAGCUCCACCCUCCGCGAUAGCUUUCUCCAUUUGGCAUUCGGAACUCCACAUCCC
rnacentral:rRNA from 1 species